rnacentral:lncRNA from 10 species
CCCAAAUUACGCCCGCUCUCGAUCCUUAAUAAUGGGAAGGGGCUUCCACUUGUCGCCCUCCGCCUCCUGCACCUCAGUGACUUCCCUGACCAAGGAGGAAGAAUUGGCGUGCAGCCUGGGCUUCCCUCAAUGGCCACCAUUCCGCUGGCACAAUGUAGUGCCCUGCCCCGGGCCUCAGUUUCCCCAUCUGUGGAACUGAGUGUGGCCUCGACGUCAAAAAUGUGGACUCUGGUCCGGUCGCGGUGGCUCACGCCUCAGCCUCAGCACCCCCUGGGAGCUCGAGACAUCUAAGGAGUUGACUGAGGCCCCUCCCUGACAUACUGAAGCGGAAUCUGCAUUUUAGCAAGAUCUGCAGGUGAAUUCUGAGCGUGUGAAUGCUUGAGAAGCCCUGAUCUGUAACACAUUUAGAUUCUUUCACAUACCGCACACCGCAUGCUCUUAAAGAUUAUUCCAACAGUAAUAUUUAUCUUUCUCUCUCUCCCUCUCUCUUUCUCUCACUGGGAGCAGGUUGUAAGUCAUUUCCACUUUGCAUGUGUUUCAUUUUCUUUUUUUUUUGAGACAGGGUCUUGCUGUGCCAUCCAAGCUGGUAUACACUGCUGAAUACUUGUAAGGCCCUUGAUACUAUUUGAUAGGAUGAAUGCAAAAAUUGAAUUUAAAAAAUGAAUUUUUUGG